UCAUAAUCACCAGUCUUCUGUUAUGGACCUGUCACAGGGCUCCAAGCUGACCUAGGUCAUAAUCACCAGUCUUCUGUUAUGGACCUGUCACAGGGCUCCAAGCUGACCUAGGUCAUAAUCACCAGUCUUCUGUUAUGGACCUGUCACAGGGCUCCAAGCUGACCUAGGUCAUAAUCACCAGUCUUCUGUUAUGGACCUGUCACAGGGUUCCAAGCUGACCUAGGUCAUAAUCACCAGUCUUCUGUUAUGGACCUGUCACAGGGUUCCAAGCUGACCUAGGUCAUAAUCACCAGUCUUCUGUUAUGGACCUGUCACAGGGUUCCAAGCUGACCUAGGUCAUAAUCACCAGUCUUCUGUUAUGGACCUGUCACAGGGUUCCAAGCUGACCUAGGUCAUAAUCACCAGUCUUCUGUUAUGGACCUGUCACAGGGUUCCAAGCUGACCUAGGUCAUAAUCACCAGUCUUCUGUUAUGGACCUGUCACAGGGUUCCAAGCUGACCUAGGUCAUAAUCACCAGUCUUCUGUUAUGGACCUGUCACAGGGUUCCAAGCUGACCUAGGUCAUAAUCACCAGUCUUCUGUUAUGGACCUGUCACAGGGUUCCAAGCUGACCUAGGUCAUAAUCACCAGUCUUCUGUUAUGGACCUGUCACAGGGUUCCAAGCUGACCUAGGUCAUAAUCACCAGUCUUCUGUUAUGGACCUGUCACAGGGUUCCAAGCUGACCUAGGUCAUAAUCACCAGUCUUCUGUUAUGGACCUGUCACAGGGUUCCAAGCUGACCUAGGUCAUAAUCACCAGUCUUCUGUUAUGGACCUGUCACAGGGUUCCAAGCUGACCUAGGUCAUAAUCACCAGUCUUCUGUUAUGGACCUGUCACAGGGUUCCAAGCUGACCUAGGUCAUAAUCACCAGUCUUCUGUUAUGGACCUGUCACAGGGUUCCAAGCUGACCUAGGUCAUAAUCACCAGUCUUCUGUUAUGGACCUGUCACAGGGUUCCAAGCUGACCUAGGUCAUAAUCACCAGUCUUCUGUUAUGGACCUGUCACAGGGUUCCAAGCUGACCUAGGUCAUAAUCACCAGUCUUCUGUUAUGGACCUGUCACAGGGCUCCAAGCUGACCUAGGUCAUAAUCACCAGUCUUCUGUUAUGGACCUGUCACAGGGC